rnacentral:lncRNA from 1 species
AACGUGGUAAGUCAGUGACCUUAACAACAAGUACUACUAUUGCUGGUCAUAAUAAUUGAUGAUUCCAUAGAACUAACAAAUGAUUGUGGAAUGCACUAGUCAAACUUUUCUUUCUUCUAUUUCUUUCCACUUUUUCUCUUUCUUUCAAACAAAAACAGUGAGGUUUGUCUUCUGAAUUUGUGUGUGGUCCAAUUUAUUAAAACAACUAUACUUUCACAGUCUUCU